AAGGCCAGCGUGCUUUGAAAGCUGUUUUUCUGCCUGGCCCUGGAGUCCUUUGCAAAAACAAUAGUGCAGCACUUCCAGGAGCCCACACAAUUAUAAACUGCUAAAAAAAAGAAGCUUUUCAGUUAGAGAAAAGUUUUAGCCUGGGCAUUCAGUUGCAGUUCUAAAGAAUCCUGACGUCUCCCGUGGGUUGGUAAAGACCCUGGAGUGGAAAGCAGCUUGCACUGACAGACCAACAGGAGCUCAAAGAAUCACUGCUGCAGACAACUAUAAAUGGUAGAAACCAUCUCAGUGUCUUCUUAGAGAGGAGGGAUUCGGGAUGGGGCCUUCAAGGCUGGGUUGGGGGGAGCGCUGGGCACCUCAUCUGGUGGGUGGCAAGAGGAGCUGGAACUGGAUGGCCUUCGAGGUCCUUCCCGAGCCAAGUCAUUCUGUGGUUUUGUGAUAGGAUUCGUGGGGUCCUGGGUAUCUGCACAGGAAAGGAAACAGGACCCUUCUCCUUCGUGCGACCUGCUGUGGUGAAAUGGUGACCUGUUGGGCCUGCUGGUGGCUGUGCCUGUGCUGUGGCAUCGGGGCAAAGGGAGCAGCCAGCAGCAGGGGGUGGUUGAUGGGACGUUCCUCUUUAUUUUUGCCCCUUUUUUGUACAAUACAGCAGCAGACUCUGUGGUAGAAAAUGUACUCUUAGUGCAGCGGGGAAAAAACAGCGAGUGCGUAGCUCUGGUGGUAUGUGUGAAGGAGGAAGUGGUACGUCAAGGCUAUUUUCAGCGCUGUUUGCCAUGAAAGGGACAAUACAGGAAACGGCUUUAAAUUCAGUUCGUCGGUUCUUUGACAGAGCUGUAAUAUUAACCCAAGUGUGUGCUGUGCAACUGUGGGCAGGUCACAUCACCGUGACGGCCUGCGGGCCUUCUGGGGCUUGGAGGGCUCCAGAUCCAGCCCUUAAGCUCAGGCAGUGGGGUUUGGGAGUUUGAGAGGAAAGCAGUCACAGAAUCACAGAAUCACCGAGGUUGGAAAAGACCUCUAUGGUCAUCCAGUCCAACUGGAAUCGCUACCACGUAGGCAGCAUCCAUAUGCUUCCCUUUUGUACUUGUUCAGACAGCGCUUACCUAACUCGGUUGGAAGAGGUCAGCCUGGGAGAAAGGCACAGCGUGAGCCAUAACUGAGAGAAAACAGCAACUUAUAGGCCCACAUUGAACAGCCUUCGUGUUAUUAGACCUAAUCUUUUUACCGGACUGAAGUUUGUUUUCAGGAGCCCAAAGCUGAUGAGCACUGCAGGCCGUGCAGUAAAAGCCCUUGGCUCUCUGCAUACAGGCAGUCCCUCUGCAUGGUUAGCAGAAGAAAUAAUACAGAAAUGCAAAUGUGGGUUUUUUUUUUUUCAGCUGACUGCCUUGAAGUCCUGAAAGUUUGUCACAGUUUGGAGCUGUGUUAAGAACAAAACAGCCUUUUGAGACUGAAAGUUGAUACGGUUUUAUCCUUUAUUCUUUUGUUCUGGUUUCUUUUCUUUUGCCUUAAGGAAUCAGAGCCUAUCAAAAUACGUGGCUUUCAUCCACUUUCUAAAGUCAACAGUGGAUGCAUGCCAUUGUGGGACCCUGCUGGAACAGGUCACUAGGAGAUCCCUGGAGAUGGGCCAUGUCCUACGUGUACACUGCAAAGAAGACACACACCUAAGUGUGUGCUGCUCAGGAUUUGAUUUUCAUUUUGGCAAAGGUCACAGCGGCACCCCUGCUCCUCUUAGGCUCCUGCAAACAGCUUUGAACUCGAACGUAUUUGAUAGGUGGGUGUGAUAAGCAGCCAGGUUAGCCAUCCCAUCCCACCCCACCCUGCCCCAUUCCAUCUUCUCUCUGGGAGAACGGUGGUUCUUGACACUAAAUUCGGGAGCAGUUGGCAACGCCUGACUAUUCCCCUGGCUUAAAGAUUUUGAUUGUGAUGAGGUCACGGUUCAGAGAUCGGCAAAGCCCAGAAACGGUUCAUGUUUUGCUCCCACAGAGGGCUGAGGCUGCAGGGCCUUUGCAGCACUGCUGCGUGUUGCACUGCUGCUGUGAGCGUUGAGUUGGUGCCAUCGGUCUGACCACGCACCUAAAGCACCCCUCAGGAGUCACUGCUUGCUCAAAGCUGGAGAGUCCCACACCACCUCUUGCUUAACUGCAGGUUAAAAAUUUGCUCUCUAUUUACCUGCUGAUGUACCUCACGCUUGAAGUAUGAGGGCCCUGGCCAGGCUGAAGCUGUGGCAGGGUCCCCAGGGUGCAGCCAGCCCGACAGCCCUCGCUGCAGCUCAUCCCAUGCUGGGGGAAGGUGCUUGCUCUGACGGCAUUGGCAAGCACUAAAAAUGAAAAACCUUGACAAAUACAUGGUAGAAGUUAGCAAGAAAUUGCAUUUUCUGUGAGAAGGGGAGCGCUGUGAAUUGGGUUUCAAGGAAAUGGCAUUUAAGCAGUGCCUCUCCUGCAGCUCAGCGCUCCGGGUCCGGGCUGGCAGCCAUCGGUGUCAGUGCAGUUUUGCUGCAGGGUUAGCAUGUAAAAGCCGUUCUGCUGAACUGAACACACAACAGAGAUCCUGCAGUGUUUGGGAAUUGGUUUCCAUUCACAAAGCUGAGGGUCUCCGUGCCUGCUGCCUUAACCUGAGUGAGAUGCUCCGCGCUGAUGUGCCGCUGUGCUCCUCACAUAGCUGGGUUUGUGGUGUUCAGUGCCACGUAAGGAGUCUGCUUCUGCUCUGCUGAGACUCUGCUGGCCUUUAUUGCCACGUGAGGUGUGCAUACACCUGUAUGAGAGGAAGAGGCAAGAAGCUGGCUGCCCUCUUCCUCACCACGGGCAUGCAGGAGAUGUGCUGGGGUAUGGGGUCCUGUCUGUUUGCCAUCACUUGGGAAAGUACAGCCAUUUUAGUUCUCAUCUCAGCCAUUUAAAUAUGUGCAGGAGGGGUGAGCCAUGUUCACAUCUCUUUUUUUUCUUCCCCCUAAUUCUAAUUUUCUGGCACGCUUUCUCCCUGGAAGCUGGAGCUAUUAGCAGUUAUUCUCCCAGGACUCUGUGCCUCUCUUCAUCUCUGAGUCACUUCUCCAAUUAGAGAUUAAUUUAUCCAGCAUUGCUCCUUGCUGCGACGAGCAGUAAUGAUAAAAACACUCUGAUCUCAAACUGAAAUGGGCCAAAAGGAAGAAGAGAUGUGUGUGGUGUGUCUCUGGGCUAUGGCUUCUUUACAGAGCAGCUGGACGUGUGUAUUUACUGCAGGAAGCUGGAUGCUUGGGGAGGCAAUGGGGGACUCUUCUGUCCUGCUCAGGAGAAGGGCUGGCCAUGCAAGGAGCACGGUGCUCCAGCACAAACCUGCUAAAGAAAUGGUUUGCUACCCAGAUAGCUUGGGAUUGCUAUUUCCUGGUUGUUGAGAAACACAGGUAGAUAAGUAUCUGUUCUUCAGAACAGAGAAUGCUAUUUAAAGGCAUACUUAGGUGAGGUUGGUGGGAAGAUGAAGGUGAAGAUGCUUGAGGUAUUCUCACCGUGAAAUCCACAGCGCCUGUGGCUGCAGCCUUGCUUUGAAUGCCCUGGUGCGAAUAGCUGCCUUAGCUGCAACUGAGUUUGCUGGCCUUACUGCCCUGCAGGGAAAUGGUGUUUGCUUUGGGAUGGCCUGCUGGUGUGGGGAAAGGUCGUGACAGGGUGAGUCGAUGUCUGAAGGGCAGCAGCACGUGAACCGGCCACGCGCUAUCAGCACAGAGAGCUCAGGUGGAAUCCCUCCGGAGCUGCAGCAGGGCAGUGCUGGAGUGCGGAGGUGACCCAGAGCCAGAGCUGAGGGCUGACCCGGGGAGCUGCAGGCUCUGAGCUGGUUGUGUAGGAGGGUGCUGUGCUGCCUCCUGCAUCUCAUGCUCAUCCCGCAGACAAACCUCCGCCUCGAUGGCUGCUGCUGUUUUCUUCCUGGUUGCCGGAAGACGUGUUCCCACAGGCCUAGCUGGGUUUUUGUGCUUCAUGCCUUAAUUGCUUCAUCCUUAUCUGGAAAUGAAUUUGGAGAAGUACAGCUAAAACAAACACCCAGUCUUGUUCUUGGAAACACCAAUGUCUGUUUGCCAGACGUGUCUGUGACCUUCCAGGUUAAUGAGCAACGCUCUGAGGCAAUGUGGGGUUGCGCCUCUCCCCUGGUUGGGCACCAAAGGGGAAGUCAGGUAGGUGGAGGCCUGGAAAAUGCCAUGGGGAAUGGGUUCAGCUCAGGGUGAGCAGGGUCUCUGGAUGAUGGGCAGGUGUAGGGCCAUCUCUACGGGCAUUCUUUCACAUUCAAAGCCUCAGGCCAACAGUAAGUUUUAAAAUAAACAAUAGAUCUAAUUUGCUGCCUCAGGAAGUGUCAGUCAAGCGAAGUUACGUUUGCAGUGUAGUGUGAUAGAUCGACCUUAUGGGUUUAUUUCAGAAUUUUAAAGCUGUGGGUCCGUAUCUGGAUUAAACAGUCCCAGCAAAUGGGUUUUAUCUCAGUACACCACAGUGGAUUCAGGCAAGUAGGGUGGAUUUGGCUUGUAACUGCUUAACCACUGCAGUUCUGCUUGUGGAUGGUUUGUUUCGUUGUGUUUUUCAAGAGAGUGGUUCUUCCCAGGCUGCAGGAAAGCACCACUUCUGGUAUGUGGGUUAAUGAAGGGCUCGGUAAGACCCAGGGAGCUCUUCUGGUAGCAGUCAAGUGCUCCUUCUACGUUAAUUAUCACCGUGUUUCUCAGCAAAGGUAAGGAAAGCAAAGUUCUUCAGCCGGUGCUGCUUUAUUGUCACCACACUCCAAAUGCGCGGUGGUGAAAUUCCUGAUUAUUUCCACGCUUCAGCUGAUGGUCCACAAGUGGUCACCUGCAGUCAUCGUUCAUCUUUUUUCAGUUGGAGAUGCUGCAAAUGCCAGAGAUGAGAUGAGGGGAAACACAUCAAGGCUUUCUUUGCUUCCUGCCUUUGAGCCUGUGAUGGGUUUCUGUGGGUCUGAAGCCCUGCUGUAAGAGCUCGCAGCAGCUGGAAGUGUAAUGCACUGCAGCUCGGUGCCUCCUGAGGCACUCGGGCACAGCCUGGAGGAGUUUAAUGGCACUGAGGAUGGUUUUACCAACGCAUGAACCAACAUGGGCUGAGAGAGCAACUCACAAUACCUUCCUGCAACAGAGAAAGUCCAGGUAUUUACCAAACCUGAGUGAAUUGUCCUGGCUUUUUUGCUCCCUCUAUCAUAAUGUAAUUCAGUUGUAAACAGCUAUUUCAAGGCCAAAAGCCGUGAUUUAUCUUUUUGGGGGGCUGCAGUAGGAGGCACAUGACCAGAAAGCGCUCUUUGCUCCCUGUGUGGUGCACAGGGGAUGCUUUGGACCCUGACAUGCUGUGUGUCCCUGAGCUGGGCCCCCACGUGCGGCCCUGCCUGUGGCACAGCCCUCAGCUCAUGGAUAGGGCUAUGUCAGAGCAUGGAAAAAGAUUGUGAAACCUCCUGCUGAGAUAUUUGAGACCUCAGUGUUUUGCUUGCUAAUUUUGAACCCGUGAGAUGUUUCUCAUGGCCUAUUUAUAGAGCAGCUUGCUCUCAGAAGGCCCAGCGGGCCCCGCUCUGCAGAGCAGGCCUGAGAACCUCACCCGGGGACACGGGCCUGCACAGCCAUCGUGCUGUGCUUCGGCUCUGAUGGGCAGGGCCCAGCCCAAGGCACGCGGGUGGACGUCCAAGGUGAUGUUGGUGGGAUGGCAGUAGAGAUUGAACCUUCCCACCAGCAUCCCAUUACAUUUUGCUGCUGCGUAAGAGAUGGAAGGAAGCCUGACGGAAUGGCGCCUGGCGUGCAAGUGUGUGUGAAGCAAAGCCGUGUCAUUGAGUUCUCCCAUGCUGGUGAAAAUGCACAGCUAGAGGUGGUAACUAUGCAGGAAAAAAAAAAAAAACAUAGCAUUCUGUAGCUGAGAAUUUGCUCUAUCAAACAGUGUUGUUGUGCUCUUUGUUGUAGUUUCCAUAAUAAAUAAUGAGGAGGCGUUACUUCUGGAGCAACCUGUCUAUUCCUCAGUCAUCGAAGGUGCUGAAAAGCAGAUAAGGCUGCACGUUUGCCUCCUCGUCAGCCACCCCACAGUACUGCUGGUUACACCGCUGGUGAAUGCUAACGUCAAACUGAUUUGCUCCCAAGAAGCCACUGCUGCGUGCUCCUGCAGGGAUGCUGCUGGCUGCCCCCCGCUCUCUGCUGUGCUUUGUGUGCUCCACGGGUGUUCUCUCCCUGAAGCAGUGGUUACGUGGGAUUUGGGGCUCCUUUUCCAACCCCUCCUGCGAAAGGAGAGCACAGGGCCAGAAGGUUUCUCUGUCCUCCCACUUCUGCAGUUCUCCCUGAAGCAUUUCUGCCUUCACAUAUGUGACUUCCACGGUCAGCGAGGGAAACCUGAGACCUGCCGGGCAGAUAUUGGUAUUCAAGGCACGUGCAGAGGAUGUGUGCAAGACUUAACCAGGCUUCUACUUGAAUUUUGUCUGGGUAACUUCCAGGUAAAGGGAGUGCACACAUCUGGCCCAGGUGGCCCAUUGUUUACUGCUGGUUCCAGGAUGGUCAGGAAGGCAGCUCAGGUUUAUUCCAGCACAGUGUUCAUGUGGUGUGGUAAUGGAUGUUAUGGGCAGGAGAAGGAUGAGAGUCUGAUGCAGCAAACAGUAAGAACAGGUUUAAAUAGAGGUCAUUGUGAACACAGUAAAUUCCUGAUUGGUUUUGUUACUACAUACUGUGCAGAAACAACAGAGGAGUCAUCACGUUGCUGUGAAAAUACACAAGAUGUGUUGUCAGCAAUAGCUGCAGUGAUUGCUCGGUGGUGUCCAGAACCAGAGAGAAGGAAAGAUCUUCAGACCAAGGGUGGCACAUGGACCUUCCUGGGGAGAUCUGAAUGGUAUCACAGCGCAAACAGCUUUUGUUCGGGUAGCCGUAGUUCAGGCUGAGGCACAGCUGACCCAAAAUAGAGCCCAGACAGACAACGCCGAGGAUGGCUCGAGGCUUUGGGAGGACAUGGCAGAGGGAACCUUACCCUGUGUGGGGCACACAGAGCCUCGCCGAUGCUACACCUGCGCUGGAAGGAUAGGGGAGAUUUCCAAAUCAAUGUACCGGUGCUCAUUUUUUGUUUGUUUGUUUGAUUUUUGUUUUCAAAACCUGUGCAGGGCUGCUGGGUUGAUGUCACCACCGCUUUGUCUGGCUUUGGCCUGAGGGGCAGGAGGGAGUCUGGUCACCCCCGUAAUCCCAGCAGCCUCCAAUGGCAACGACAGCCCUCGGAUGAAUGAAGGCAGCAGCACUGUGCAAAUUACCUUUUCUUUCUUAUCCACAGUAAGACAGAUAAUAAUCCUCCUACGGGACUAAUUACAGCCAAUGAAAAUAACUCCCACUGCCAGUAUUUGAAGGAUAACCACUUAGAUGAAAAAGAGUGAACAAUGAUUAUUAUUUUGUGCGUGGCUCUCUCUCGCCCCAUCUAUUCUGACCUCAGUAAAUCACAGUGUAAUUAAUCACUGAGGAUUAAACACCGCAGGGAAAAGAGUAGGAAAUUAUGUAUAAGCAAAACUUGAAAUGACUUUGACUUACCAUAAAUUUGGGUUAUCUGUCUCACAGAAUACGUUUCCUAGGCUGCCUCUUACGGAAUAAAUCUAUCCCGACCUGUGUACAUGAGAACUGUAUGAAUAGUGAAGACUGGAGUAUCGAUGGGUGUGUAAGAAACUAAUCAAAAAAGGCAGUGACUGUGGAAGAUGUGGGUUGGCUCUUUGGGCAUUCCAGAAGCAGAAAAAUGCACAGAGAUCCCUCAGCAGACAGGGUAGGACUUAAGUGCUCAUCUUUAAACGUGGAAACCAGCCUCAGAGAGACUAGACAUUAAACUUUAUGUUUAACAAAGUGAAAAGAAG
ensembl:lncRNA